ACUUUCAACAACGGAUCUCUUGGCUCUCGCAUCGAUGAAGAACGCAGCGAAAUGCGAUAAGUAAUGUGAAUUGCAGAAUUCCGUGAAUCAUCGAAUCUUUGAACGCACCUUGCGCUCUUUGGUAUUCCGGAGAGCAUGCUUGUUUCAGUCUCAAUA
rnacentral:rRNA from 1 species